rnacentral:rRNA from 2 species
UUAAUUUGAGAGUUUGAUCCUGGCUCAGGACGAACGCUGGCGGCGUGCCUAAUACAUGCAAGUCGAACGAACUCUGGUAUUGAUUGGUGCUUGCAUCAUGAUUUACAUUUGAGUGAGUGGCGAACUGGUGAGUAACACGUGGGAAACCUGCCCAGAAGUGGGGGAUAACACCUGGAAACAGAUGCUAAUACCGCAUAACAACUUAGACCGCAUGGUCCGAGUUUGAAAGAUGGCUUCGGCUAUCACUUUUGGAUGGUCCCGCGGCGUAUUAGCUAGAUGGUGAGGUAACGGCUCACCAUGGCAAUGAUACGUAGCCGACCUGAGAGGGUAAUCGGCCACAUUGGGACUGAGACACGGCCCAAACUCCUACGGGAGGCAGCAGUAGGGAAUCUUCCACAAUGGACGAAAGUCUGAUGGAGCAACGCCGCGUGAGUGAAGAAGGGUUUCGGCUCGUAAAACUCUGUUG